rnacentral:rRNA from 1 species
GCGACGGGUGAGUAACACGUAGUAUCUACCGUUGGCGGGGAUACGUUCCGAAAGGAGCGCUAAUACCGCAUAAGACCACGGAGUCUCCGGACGCUGUGGGAAAAGGUGGCCUCUUCUUGAACGCUACCACCGAAGGAUGAGCCUGCGUCCCAUCAGCUAGUUGGUAAGGUAAUGGCUUACCAAGGCGAAGACGGGUAGCUGGUUUGAGAGAAUGAUCAGCCACACUGGCACUGGAACACGGGCCAGACUCCUACGGGAGGCAGCAGUGAGGAAUAUUGGGCAAUGGGCGAAAGCCUGACCCAGCCACGCCGCGUGAGUGAUGAAGGCCCUCGGGUCGUAAAGCUCUGUGGAGAGGGACGAAAACCCUGGUUUCAAAUAGGCUCCAGGCUUGACGGUACCUCUUUAGCAAGCACCGGCUAACUCUGUG